AAGUAGAUAUGAUGAUUUUUAUCCAUAAAUUCUGCAAUAUAAUGAAUGAACACCAAACAUGCACUACCAUCUGGUCUCUU
rfam:Cajanus cajan Scaffold000144_5, whole genome shotgun sequence.